UGGGGAAUUUUGGACAAUGGGGGCAACCCUGAUCCAGCCAUCCCGCGUGUGCGAUGAAGGCCUUCGGGUUGUAAAGCACUUUUGGCAGGGAAGAAACAGCCUGGGCUAAUAUCCCGGGCGACUGACGGUACCUGCAGAAUAAGCACCGGCUAACUACGUGCCAGCAGCCGCGGUAAUACGUCGGGUGCAAGCGUUAAUCGGAAUUACUGGGCGUAAAGAGUGCGCAGGCGGUUCGGAAAGAAAGGUGUGAAAUCCCAGGGCUUAACCUUGGAACUGCACUUUUAACGACCGGGCUAGAGUACGUCAGAGGGGGGUAGAAUUCC
rnacentral:rRNA from 1 species